rnacentral:tRNA from 1 species
GCGCCUGUAGCUCAGUGGAUAGAGCGCCAGCCUCCGGAGCUGGAUGCAGGGGUUCGAGUCCCUUCAGGCGUA